AGGAGAGGCAGAGAGAGAGGGAAAGAGAGAGGAAGAUGGACAGGAACAAGGAGAGGAAGAGGGAGAGGGAGAGAGAAAGGGAGAGGGAAAAGGAAAGAAUUGUUCGGACAUGAACUUGUUACAUAGCCAAGGAUAGCCCUGAAUGUCUGAUCAUCUGACCUCCACCUUCCAAGUUCUGGUGUUGCAUGCACCACUAGGCACUACCAGGUUGAUGUAGUUCUGGGAUUUGACCUCAGAAUUCCUAUUUGGCAGGUGUUGCAGUCUGAAUGAAAAUGUCCCCAUAAACUCAUAGGGAAUGGUAUUAUUGGAGGUGUGGCCUUGUUGGAAUAAAUGUGUCACUGAUACUUUGAAGUUUCAGAAGCUCAAGCUUCUUGCUGUUGAUGAUGAUCCAUAUGUAGAACCUUCUACUCCUUCUGCAGCACCAGGUCUUCCUGAAUGACACUGUGCUCUCCAUCAAGAAGAUAAAUGAACUAAACUUCUGAACUAACAUAUAGUGUCUCCUGACACUGAAGAACAAAGCUACUCUGGAGAAGAAGGUCUGCAUAAAAGAUCUGCAUUCAGUAGGACGACAUUCCAAGAACUGAUCUAGAUUUCAUUAAGCCAAAAAUGCUUGUGAAAAAACAUACUGCUAGCUAACGGUUCUUCACCGCAUUCAGGCUAAUUUCUAGUUGAUAUUACACUCAGAAGAACCUGUAAUGUAUCAGAUGACUGACUCCCUUAGCCUAUCACCAGACACACCUCCCUACCUCUGCUGAAUAAUUCAACUCACAGACAAAUGAUGUCAAGCCUCUCCAUGGUGAAGCUGUCACCCAGAAUUAGAUCUGGGAAAAAGAAAUCACAGCGGAAAGACUUUGCUUCAUAUUGCUUCUAUUAAGGGUGAUAUACCUUCUGUUGAAUACCUCUUGCACAAUGGAAAUGACCCAAAUGUUAAAGACCAUGCCGGAUGGACACCAUUGAAUGAAGCCUGCAGUCAUAUGACAUGAAGGUAGUAGAAUUUCUGCUCCAGCAUAAUGCUUUGUUGAACACCACUGGCUAUUAGAAUCACCACUCUAUAAUGGGGCCAAGAAGGGGCAGGUGGAUAUAGUGAAAGUGUUACUGUCCUACAGUGUCUCCAGGAAUUCUUACUUGCUGUGACCCUUUGCAAUAGCCACAAAUAAUAUAAGAUAUCUUGGGGUAACUCUAACCAAGCAAGUAAAAAACCAAUAUGAUAAGAACUUUAAGUCUUUAAAGAAAGAAAUUAGAGAAGAUAUCAGAAGAUGGAAAGAUCUCCAGCGCUCUUAGGUAAGAUUAGCCUAGUAAAAAUGGCAAUCUUACCAAAAGCAAUCUAUACAUUCAAUGCAAUCUCCAUCAAAAUUCCAACACAAUUCUUUACAGACCUUGAAAGAACACUCCUCAACUUCAUAAGGAAAAAAAAAACAGGGUAGCUAAAACAAUCCUGUAUAAUAAAGUAGCUUCCAGAGAUAUCUCCAUCCUUGGUUUCAAGCUCUAUUGUAGUGCUAUGGUAGUAAAAAGACCUUGGUACUGGCAUUAAAACAGAUAGGUGGAUCAAUAGAACCAAAUCAAAGACCCUAAUAUAAACCCACACACCUCUGAACACCUAAAUUUUGACAAAGAAACCAAAAUUAUACAAUGGAAAAAAAAAGAGCAUGUUUAGCAAAUGUUGCCUGCAAAACUGGAUGUUGGCAUGGAGAAGAAUACAAAUAGAUCCGUAUCUGUUGCCCUGCACAAA
ensembl:lncRNA